ensembl:lncRNA
GUCCUUCAGCUUUUCCCCACUCUUCAAAAAGCAAGAAAUGGAGUAAACCAUCUCUGCAAAGCAGCAACGUUGUGCUCUGUGUAGAUUCUGAAACUACAGCAAACUCUCAGCGCUCUUAGGCUAGCUCCGCGACGGCUCCCAAGGCUGGAGACUCCAAAUCGAAUCCUCUUCGGACUGCCACGCUGCAAAAGACGUCCUGGGAUUGUAUUCCAAUUACAUGACGUGUAAAUAUCUAUACCUGGACAAUGUUAAAAGAACUGUCCAGAACCUUGUAUUUGCUUUAUUAUUUUCGAAGUCAUUUAGCUCCUCCUUCUAAAUCUAAUCUCUUUAGCACUGAAUGCUGCUGCUAAGUCACUUCAGUCGUGUCCGACUCUGUGCGACCCCAUAGACAGCAGCCCAUCAGGGUCCCCCGUCCCUGGGAUUCUCCAGAAGGACAUCCAGGGAUGUGAUCCCGAGAAGACUCAACCAGCCUUUUCUGGCUUUGAAAGUGGAGG